GCAUGCGCAAACUGCGAUGCUGCACGGAAGAUGGCGGCCUCCUUAGGAGGGGUCCUUUGGGAGAUUCAGGCGGCAUUGCCGUCAUAGGCCGUCUUCCAGGAAAAUAUUUUUUUCAACUCUGAAGACCUGGACGUGUUUUUGUCCAGGAAAUCUCUUGGACCUGAAAGGACAAAGAGACCCUGGGGAAGAGAGCUUCAGAAAAAGAGGAGAGAUUGUCGUAAAACAGAAACUUAUUUUGGGGUGUGCGAGCCAAGUUAAGCGACGCAGACGCAUCCUCGAACAGCCGGAGGUUCACUCAGAACAGCUCCCGCUCCUAAGGACGAGCUGCGCUUGGAGACUUUUGGUCCUCAUCUGGCCCCUCCCUCCGGCCGGCGUGCGCGGCCCCGCGGGGACGGGGUGGGGCCCACCUGCGCCUCCUGGGGGACGUGCAACCCGCCGCAGUGGGACUCAGUCGCCUAACCACCGCCGCCGCCACAGCUUACAUCAGUUUGGCUUCUGAUGUUUUCAUUUCCCUUGCUGAGGUGCUGCUUCUGGGUUAAAGUCAUCUUAUUGCCUGUCCAUUUGUAGACAGGACAAGGUCGCUCGAAUAGAUCAGGAGUCGAGCUCAGAGUGGGCUUCCCUGGUGGCUCAGAUGGUAAAGCGUCUGAUCCCCUGGAGAAGGAAAUGGCAACCCACUCCAGUACUUUUGCCUGGAAAAUUCCAUGGCCGGAGGAGCCUGGCAGGCUACAGUCUAUGGGAUCGCAAAGAGUUGGACACGACUGAGCAACUUCACUCACUCCGGCUCAGAGUAGGUCAAAAGUACACACAUGUUGGGAGUGGGGAUCAAAACAGAAGGAGGGCUGCCAAGUACAGCCAGGACUAGGUGUUCACCAUGUAUACUUAAUAAAGGCCAGAAUCUCAUCUGUCUCUGGUGGGAGGGUCUGUUGGUUUCACUGGAUCAAAUUCAACCGGAUCCGAACCAGUUUCAUGGAAUAAAACACUGGACUUCGGUGGCCACUGUUCCCAUCAAGAAAGGAUGGUCGCGUUUGGAAGUAAACAUGUUGGAGAGCUGUAAACACCACAAAACUAAAUACAGGUCACAAGGCUGAAACUGGGUCUAAUUAGACCUGAAACCAAGGAAAAGAAUUCGGCUUCUCCAGC